rnacentral:rRNA from 1 species
UACAGGGGGGGCAAGCGUUGUUCGGAAUUACUGGGCGUAAAGGGCCAGUAGGCGGCCAACUAAGUCACACGUGAAAUCCCCAGCUUAACCUGGGAACUGCGUGUGAUACUGGAUGGCUUGAAUUCGGGAGAGGGAUGCAGAAUUCCAGGUGUAGCGGUGAAAUGCGUAGAUAUCUGGAGGAAUACCGGUGGCGAAGGCGGCAUCCUGGACCGACAUUGACGCUGAACGGCGAAAGCUAGGGGAGCAAACGGG